rnacentral:rRNA from 1 species
UACGGAGGGGACUAGCGUUGUUCGGAAUUACUGGGCGUAAAGCGCACGUAGGCGGAUUUGUAAGUCAGGGGUGAAAUCCCGGGGCUCAACCCCGGAACUGCCUUUGAUACUGCGAAUCUCGAGUCCGGAAGAGGUGAGUGGAAUUCCUAGUGUAGAGGUGAAAUUCGUAGAUAUUCGGAAGAACACCAGUGGCGAAGGCGACUUACUGGACACAUAUUGACGCUGAGGUGCGAAAGCGUGGGGAGCAAACAGG